GUUCCAUUCCUCCAUUGAAAAAAAAUACUGAAAUCACUGCUCGUCUUUAUCCUACAACCCUGAAAUCCUAGCUCGCACUCGCUUCGUCUCUCUUUCACUGCUACAUAUAGGUCUGUUUCCAUCUGAAAUCCUAGCUCGCACUCGCUUCGUCACUCUUUCACUGCUACAAAUAGUUUGGCUGGAGACAUGGUGCUGAACUGUAGAUGGUUUGAUAUUUUGACACCCGAGGAGGUUGAAAACAAUGUCAAUAGCGACAACAGUUCUUCAAGUUUUUGGUUUUUUUGAUGCGAUUUAGUUAGUAGUCAAUGUCAUUUUCUUUCAAUGCCAAUGGCGACAACAGGUCUUGGAGUGUUUUCAAGUAUAA